UAACGUUUGUAGGUGAGCUCACAGGUCU
rnacentral:sRNA from 1 species